UUGAUCAUGGCUCAGAUUGAACGCUGGCGGCAUGCCUUACACAUGCAAGUCGAACGGCAGCAUGAUCUAUCUUGCUAGAUUGAUGGCGAGUGGCGAACGGGUGAGUAAUACAUCGGAACGUGCCCUGUAGUGGGGGAUAACUAGUCAAAAGAUUAGCUAAUACCGCAUACGACCUGAGGGUGAAAGUGGGGGACCGCAAGGCCUCAUGCUAUAGGAGCGGCCGAUGUCUGAUUAGCCAGUUGGUGAGGUAAAGGCUCACCAAGGCGACGAUCAGUAGCUGGUCUGAGGGGACGAUCAGCCACACUGGGACUGAGACACGGCCCAUACUCCUACGGGAGGCAGCAGUGGGGAAUUUUGGACAAUGGGGGCAACCCUGAUCCAGCAAUGCCGCGUGUGUGAAGAAGGCCUUCGGGUUGUAAAGCACUUUUGUCCGGAAAGAAAUCGCACUUACUAAUAUUAGGUGUGGAUGACGGUACCGGAAGAAUAAGGACCGGCUAACUACGUGCCAGCAGCCGCGGUAAUACGUAGGGUCCAAGCGUUAAUCGGAAUUACUGGGCGUAAAGCGUGCGCAGGCGGUUGUGCAAGACCGAUGUGAAAUCCCCUGGCUUAACCUGGGAAUUGCAUUGGUGACUGCACGGCUAGAGUGUGUCAAGGGGGGUAGAAUUCCACGUGUAGCAUGAAAUGCGUAUAGAUGUGGAGGAUACCGAUGGCGAAGGCANCCCCCUGGGAUNACACUGACGCUCAUGCACGAAAGCGUGGGGAGCAAACAGGAUUAGAUACCUUGGUAGUCCACGCCCUAAACGAUGUCAACUAGUUGUUGGGGAUUCAUUUCCUUAGUAACGUAGCUAACGCGUGAAAGUUGACCGCCUGGGGAGUACGGUCGCAAGAUUAAAACUCAAAGGAAUUGACGGGGACCCGCACAAGCGGUGGAUGAUGUGGAUUAAUUUGAUGCAACGCGAAAAACCUUACCUACCCUUGACAUGCCACUAAUGAAGCAGAGAUGCAUUAGGUGCUCGAAAGAGAAUGUGGACACAGGUGCUGCAUGGCUGUCGUCAGCUCGUGUCGUGAGAUGUUGGGUUAAGUCCCGCAACGAGCGCAACCCUUGUCUCUAGUUGCUACGAAAGGGCACUCUAGAGAGACUGCCGGUGACAAACCGGAGGAAGGUGGGGAUGACGUCAAGUCCUCAUGGCCCUUAUGGGUAGGGCUUCACACGUCAUACAAUGGUGCAUACAGAGGGUUGCCAAGCCGCGAGGUGGAGCUAAUCCCAGAAAAUGCAUCGUAGUCCGGAUCGUAGUCUGCAACUCGACUACGUGAAGCUGGAAUCGCUAGUAAUCGCGGAUCAGCAUGCCGCGGUGAAUACGUUCCCGGGCCUUGUACACACCGCCCGUCACACCAUGGGAGUGGGUUUUGCCAGAAGUAGUUAGCCUAACCGCAAGGGGGGCG
rnacentral:rRNA from 1 species